rnacentral:rRNA from 1 species
UACGUAGGGCGCAAGCGUUGUCCGGAAUUAUUGGGCGUAAAGAGCUCGUAGGCGGUUUGUCGCGUCUGCUGUGAAAACCUGAGGCUCAACCUCGGGCUUGCAGUGGGUACGGGCAGACUAGAGUGCGGUAGGGGUGACUGGAAUUCCUGGUGUAGCGGUGGAAUGCGCAGAUAUCAGGAGGAACACCGGUGGCGAAGGCGGGUCUCUGGGCAGUAACUGACGCUGGAGGAGCGAAAGCGUGGGGAGCGAACAGG